rnacentral:rRNA from 1 species
UACGGAGGGUGCAAGCGUUAUCCGGAUUCACUGGGUUUAAAGGGUGCGUAGGCGGGCAUUUAAGUCAGUGGUGAAAUACCUGAGCUUAACUUGGGAACUGCCAUUGAUACUAUUUGUCUUGAAUGUCGUGGAGGUUAGCGGAAUAUGUCAUGUAGCGGUGAAAUGCUUAGAUAUGACACAGAACACCGAUUGCGAAGGCAGCGUACUACACAAUCAUUGACGCUGAGGCACGAAAGCGUGGGGAUCAAACAGG